rnacentral:rRNA from 1 species
AACGAACGCUGGCGGCAUGCCUAACACAUGCAAGUCGAACGAGACCUUCGGGUCUAGUGGCGCACGGGUGCGUAACGCGUGGGAACCUUCCCUUAGGUUCGGAAUAACUCCCCGAAAGGGGUGCUAAUACCGGAUCAUGUCUUCGGCCCAAAGAUUUAUCGCCCUUGGAUGGUCCCGCGUUGGAUUAGCUAGUUGGUAGGGUAAAAGCCUCCCAAGGCGACGAUCCAUAGCUGGUCUGAGAGGCUGAUCAGCCACACUGGGACUGAGACACGGCCCAGACUCCUACGGGAGGCAGCAGUGGGGAAUAUUGGACAAUGGGCGAAAGCCUGAUCCAGCAAUGCCGCGUGAGUGAUGAAGGCCUUAGGGUUGUAAAGCGCUUUUACCCGGGAUGAUAAUGACAGUACCGGGAGAAUAAGCUCCGGCUAACUCCGUG